AUUGAACGCUGGCGGCAGGCUUAACACAUGCAAGUCGAACGAGUGGCGGACGGGUGAGUAAUGCUUGGGAAUCUCGCUUAUGGAGGGGGAUAACUACGGGACAAUGUAGCUAAUACCGCGUACCCUAGGAUGAGCCCCAGUGGGAUUAGGUAGUUGGUGAGGUAAAGGCUCACCAAGCCGACGAUCUCUAGCUGGGCUGAGAGGAUGACAAGCCACACUGGGACUGAGACACGGCCCAGACUCCUACGGGAGGCAGCAGUGGGGAAGAUUGCGCAAUGGGGGCAACCUGACGCAGCCAUGCCGCGGGAAGGAAGAAGGCCUUCGGGUGGUAAAGUUCUUUCGGUAGCGAGGCGUUAACUACAGAAGAAGCACCGGCUAACUCCGUGCCAGCAGCCGCGGUAAUUC
rnacentral:rRNA from 1 species